AGUGGUUGCAGCCAAGGUAGGAUCGUUAGCAAGUAAAGUUGGAGAAGCCAUUUUGUGUCUCAGGAUUGCAUUCAGGAAUACAGGAGAGUUCUUAGCAUGACUGAGACCAUAUAGCCAUUUACUUGGAAGCUGAAGUCCCUGUCAUGGAUAUCCUAACACCAAGCUCAGUUCUACAGCAAAGCAAAAGUGUACUCACUGGGCAGACAGAUACUGAUUACAGGACUCUCUCUAGAGACACGGCUAUACCCUGAAUCUAUUUGCUGCCCCCUGAACAUACUGGGCACCAGGUACCCAGAGAUGGGACAGCUGGAGGAUGGGGAAUGGAGAGGAUCCAAAGGCACUAAGAACUGUCUUGGCCUUUCUACAAUAAAUUUCCCAGCAUGACACAGAAGCCCAGUUACACACUUGCACACACACCACUGAGCCUCCCAAGUGUUGAAAUUCUACAUCCAGGCAUAUAUUUAAACUAAGAAAUUUAAAAAGAAACUACCAUGUCCAGCAAUACUUUAAUCAUCCAAAGUAGUAAUAGUAAAGGUAACUGAUGCUAACGUCUAUUAAUGCCACAAAACAUUAAAAAACUCAAGAAGAC
rnacentral:lncRNA from 10 species